rnacentral:rRNA from 1 species
CAGCACCUCAAGUGGUCAGGAUGAUUAUUGGGCCUAAAGCAUCCGUAGCCGGCGCUGUAAAUUUUCGGUUAAAUCUGUACGCUCAACGUACAGGCUGCCGGGAAUACUGCAGCGCUAGGGAGUGGGAGAGGUAGACGGUACUCGGUAGGAAGGGGUAAAAUCCUUUGAUCUAUUGAUGACCACCUGUGGCGAAGGCGGUCUACCAGAACACGUCCGACGGUGAGGGAUGAAAGCUGGGGGAGCAAACCGGAUUAGAUACCCGUGUAGUCC